rnacentral:rRNA from 1 species
AUGUUUGGCCUUACCAGCUUGUCAAAGCCUGAUCUCGUCAGAUCUCAGAAGCUAAGAAAGCUGGGUCUACUUAGUACUUGGAUGGGAGACCAAGUACUCUCAUCCAAGUACUUGGAUGUG